AAAACGUUGUCUGAGAAUCCCCUCUUCUCCCAAAGGGGCUUAGCAGACAGCCAGGAGUUUUGCAGGGGGCUUCUUACUAGUCAGCCCAAGGCAUUUGUCUCCCCUGCUUCUUGCCCUUCUCAGGGUUACAGGCCAGGAGCCCUCCACCCCUUCUCUGACUGCAGAAGAGAAGGAGACUGCAAAGAGCUCUCAGGACCCAAGGAUCUGUGGCUGAGAGACUGGCUAAGGAUGAGGGGAGAUUACAGAACAGAGAGGUGGACCUCCACGUGUGGGAGUGAUUCAUCUGAGGGGCUGAGAGUCAUGCUAACCUCCUAGGGCGGGCACUGAUCCGAAAUGAGGGACCUAGACCUUCUGACGUGUGGAUUUGUUGUGACUCACCCAGUAAGGCUUCUAACUCUGCCACCCACUUCAAGCCCACUCACCAGCUUCUGGAGACCACCGGCUCUCUGCUCCUUUCUCGGAAAAGGACAUUGUCUACACAUGCUGGGCCUAGCAGAAUGCCUGGAGGAGGGUGACGUUCAGCAAACAUUGUUUGAAUGAAUAAACACACACAUGCUUGCCACAUCCAGGAUGGCUGGCGAAAUUGUAGAA